rnacentral:misc_RNA from 1 species
UACAGAGGUCCCGAGCGUUGUUCGGAUUCACUGGGCGUAAAGGGUGUGUAGGAGGUUAGGUAAGUCAACUGUGAAAUUUCACUGCUCAACAGUGAAACUGCAGCUGAUACUGCUUAACUAGAGGAUCAGAGGGGCAGGCGGAAUUCUUGGUGUAGCAGUGAAAUGCGUAGAUAUCAAGAGGAACACCCGUGGCGAAGGCGGCCUGCUAGAUGAUUCCUGACUCUGAAACACGAAAGCUAGGGGAGCAAACGGG